rnacentral:rRNA from 1 species
UACGGAGGGGGCGAGCGUUAUUCGGAAUCAUUGGGCGUAAAGGGCGCGUAGGCGGCCCGGUAAGUCAAAGGUGAAAUCCCUCGGCUCAACUGAGGAACUGCCUUUGAAACUGUCGGGCUUGAGGCCGGGAGGGGGUAGCGGAAUUCCCAGUGUAGCGGUGAAAUGCGUAGAUAUUGGGAGGAACACCGGUGGCGAAGGCGGCUACCUGGACCGGUUCUGACGCUGAUGCGCGAAAGCGUGGGUA